rnacentral:lncRNA from 1 species
GUAGAAUUUUAUGAUUUUUUAAAAUAUUAUUUUUUUUAAUUUUUCAAAAAACUAAAAUAUAUCAAUUUUCGAUAAGUAGUUAAAAGGCACCAUCGAUUUUGCGGAGUCUUAAAAGAAUGUCGCACUUGCUUAAAAACAACGUUUCAGUCCAAUUUUUGGUUUGAACGUUACGAAAUUUUAGCGACGUUGUGUCACGCUUUCAUGUACGAACAUCACGCGUAACGUCUAUACAUUUUUUUCCAAAUUGAUUAUUCAAGUUUUCGGUGAAGACGACAUUUGUAUUUUUACAGUUGUUACGUUAAUG